rnacentral:rRNA from 1 species
UACGGAGGGUGCAAGCGUUAUCCGGAUUCACUGGGUUUAAAGGGUGCGUAGGUGGGCAAGUAAGUCAGUGGUGAAAUUUCCGGGCUUAACCCGGAAACUGCCAUUGAUACUAUUUGUCUUGAAUACUGUGGAGGUCAGCGGAAUAUGUCAUGUAGCGGUGAAAUGCUUAGAUAUGACAUAGAACACCAAUUGCGAAGGCAGCUGGCUACACAAAUAUUGACACUGAGGCACGAAAGCGUGGGGAGCAAACAGG